CAAUAGCGUAUAUUAAAGUUGUUGCGGUUAAAAAGCUCGUAGUUGGAUUUCUGUUGAAAGUGAUCGGUCCCCUCUCUGAGGGCGUAUCUGACUCGCUUUUGGCAUCCUCUUGUGGCACAUUUCUGUCCUUCACUGGAUGGAGUGGGACGCAAGACUUUUACUUUGAGGAAAUUCGAGUGUUCACAGCAGGCAAUCGCCCUGAAGAUAUUAGCAUGGAAUAAUAAUAUAGGACCUUGGUUCUAUUUUGUUGGUUUCUAGGACUGAGGUAAUGAUUAAUAGGGAUAAUUGGGGGCGAUUCGUAUUAACGCGUCAGAGGUGGAAUUCUUGGAUUGCGUUACGACGAACUACUGCGAAAGCAUUUGCCAAGGAUGUUUUCUAUUGAUCAAGAACGAAAGUAAUGGGGAGUCGAAGAUGAUUAGAUACCGU
rnacentral:rRNA from 1 species